AAAAGAGGAAGUUGCAAGCAGGGGCGGAUGGGCUGGAGGAAGCUCCCUGCUCCGGGGAAUUCCUUGGCUGCUGCAUAAGCAGGAUUGCCUUGAACUGUCUCUCCCGAGAGGGAUGUCUUUCUGUUACAGACCAAAGCAGUGGUCAAGUGAGAGAGAGAGGAGCUUUCAGAAGAACCGGCAGUGUGACAGACCGGGCUAACUAUCAUCAGCAACAGCUGCUUCCUGAAGGGGGUUCACCAUUUGCAUUCCCAGUCCAGUCCAAUGAUGACGGAACAUCCAUCGGCUGCCCAGUCUUGUGUUCGAGGAAAAGGCCGUGAUGCAGGUUUCUUGUUCCUGAUCCUCCUGCAUCCCAGAGUGCUAUAGUUAAAGACUUGAUGCCAAAUAUCUGAAGAAGGCCUGAAGGCUAACAGGCCAGCCAGAUAUUAUACGACAUUAUUCCACAUUGCCCAUAAGGGGGGAGCCAAGGCUCUCAAGCACAUGGACAUCCGAGCUUGUCUAUGAACACUAGCCAAACAAGCCGUGCUUGCCUAGCCGAAACUAACACUCAGCUCCGCACAGCAGUGUACCAAAAUCGGCUAGCACUUGACUAUCUGCUAGCAAUGGAGGGUGGUGUGUGUGGAAAAUUCAACCUGUCUAAUUGUUGUAUCCAGAUCAAUGACCAAGGGAAGGCCAUAGAGGAAAUCACUGAUCGGAUGCGCAAAAUAGUUCAUGUUCCAGUCCAGAACUGGGAAGGCCUAGCCACCCCCGAUUGGUUUGAAAAUUGGUUUGAAAAUUGGUACUUUGGAGGUUUGAAAACCAUGGCGGGAGGAGUUCUGAUAUUGCUUUUUGGUUGUUUAUUGAUACCUUGUUUAUUACCCCUGUUUAUCUCUUUGGGACGAGAGGCCGUUGAGAGAAUAGUAAGAAAAGAAACUGCCCCCCAUAUAAUGGCUAUGGAUACAAGGUUACCUCAAGAAGAGAAGCCAUAAAAAUGGCUUCUAAGGGGGGAAAUGUGGAAUGAGGGGGAAAUGCCUUUUCUGAAAGCUGCUUUGUAAUCACUUUGUUCUCAUGAAAUGGGAAAGUGCCAUGAAAUGGGAAAGUGCACUGGUCAAGAAAUGGUUAAUAGAGUCUGCAAGUUGCCUUGCCAAAUUGUGAGCUGUAAAGCCAUAAAUUUGCUGACAAGCUAGAGGGGGAAGAGCCCCCUUUCCUUGUAUCUCCUGAAAAGCAAGGGCCAGCAAAAAAUAACACUUCAAGGCCAUCUGAGGAAGACAGUUUCGCUUAUCAAUAGGCAGUAGAAAUGUUUCUUUGUACUAGGGAAUGCUUGUCUAACUAGCAAUGAUUAUAAUAUUUGUAAUAUGACGGACAAUGAUGUUAACCAAUGAACUAAUUGGUUCUUUGGGGCUGAAUGUUGAUGCCCAGCUAUGUAGUUAUGCCAAAGUAUAAAAACUUGUGACCCAGGCAGCUGCGCGCGUCUCUCUGACUAGCUGUUAAGCUCAGGGAGGGGCCACCAGCGCUGGUUUUUCAAUAAAUGGUGAUUAUUGCUUCCUUCAA